CCCCUAGUAACUGCGAGUGAAGCGGGAAAAGCUCAAAUUUAAAAUCUGGCAGUCUUUGGCUGUCCGAGUUGUAAUCUAGAGAAGUGUUAUCUGCGCUGGACCGUGUACAAGUCUCCUGGAAUGGAGCGUCAUAGAGGGUGAGAAUCCCGUCUUUGACACGGACUACCAGGGCUUUGUGAUACGCUCUCAAAGAGUCGAGUUGUUUGGGAAUGCAGCUCAAAAUGGGUGGUAAAUUCCAUCUAAAGCUAAAUAUUGGCGAGAGACCGAUAGCGAACAAGUACCGUGAGGGAAAGAUGAAAAGAACUUUGGAAAGAGAGUUAAACAGUACGUGAAAUUGCUGAAAGGGAAACGCUUGAAGUCAGUCGCGUUGUCCAGGGAUCAACCUUGCUUUUGCUUGGUGCAUUUUCUGGUCGACGGGUCAGCAUCAGUUUUGACUAUUGGAAAAAGGUUAAGGGAAUGUGGCAUCUUUGGAUGUGUUAUAGCCCUUGGUUGCAUACAAUAGUUGGGAUUGAGGAACUCAGCACGCCGAAAGGCCGGGUUUUUAACCACGUACGUGCUUAGGAUGCUGGCAUAAUGGCUUUAAUCGACCCGUCUUGAAACACGGACCAAGGAGUCUAACAUGCCUGCGAGUGUUUGGGUGGAAAACCCGAGCGCGCAAUGAAAGUGAAAGUUGAGAUCCCUGUCAUGGGGAGCAUUGACGCCCGGACCAGACCUUUUGUGACGGUUCCGCGGUAGAGCAUGUAUGUUGGGACCCGAAAGAUGGUGAACUAUGCCUGAAUAGGGUGAAGCCAGAGGAAACUCUGGUGGAGGCUCGUAGCGAUUCUGACGUGCA
rnacentral:rRNA from 1 species